GCUGGGCACGGUGGUGCAUGCCUGCGGCGCAGCUACUCAGGAGGCUGAGGCGGGAUAGCCUGAGUCCCGGAGUUCGAGGCUGUGUGGACUGAGUGUCCGCACUAAGUCUGGCAUCAAAAUGGCACUUCCCCUCCUUAGAGGCCACCAGGUUUCCUAAGGAGGGGUGAAUAAGCCCAGGUCAGAAAUGAAGCAGGUCAAAAUCCUGUACUCAUCAGGAGUGGGACUGCACUUCUGAACAGCCACUGCACUGGACCCUGAGCCACACAGUGACGCUCUGACUCUU
ensembl:misc_RNA Metazoa_SRP Metazoan signal recognition particle RNA